GAAGGCGGGAUCGGCACGAGCUCCUUUUGCUCGCGGAUUAUAUCAAAAGGAGGUUUUCAGUAUCAUAAUUUUACACAACUCAAGUGGAAAAUUAGAUUUUAAAAGUGAAUCAAGCUCCCAAUAAGAGGAAUCCUUAGUCUAAUGGGAGAGCUGGUGUUAAAUAUCAUACAAUAUAAUGUACUUGAGAUGCCUGUACAUGGAAAGAAGCAACUAAGUGUUCCUGGAGGUGAGUGACAUAGUUUCAGAAAUUGAAUAAUUUGUUCUGUCUUGAAAAGUAAAUAGAUCUUCAGAUAUCAAGAUGGAAAAACUAUUUUAAAUAUUGGCAACAGUGAAAGCAAAGACAUGUCAUAGUUUGGUACAUGACUGAUAAGCUGUGGUUAGGAUGAGAAAGGAGGAGGAAAGACUGACCCUAAGGGUUUUUCUAAUUUAGACAACUGUGAUAGCCCCUCAGUCAUGUCUGACUUUUUGUGACCCCAGGGACUGCAGCCUGCCAGGAUUCUCUGCCCUUGGGAUUUUCCAGGAAAUAAUACUGGUGGGUUGCCAUUUCAUUUUCCAGGGGAUCUUCCCAAUGCAGGGAUUAAACCUGGGUCUCCUGCAUUGCGGGCAGUUUCUUUACCAUCUGAGUUCUAAUUUGGACAACUGCUACUGCUGCUGCUAAGUCGCUUCAGUCGUGUCCAACUCUGUGCGACCCCAUAGACAGCAGCCCAUCAGGCUCCACUGUCCCUGGAAUUCUCC
ensembl:lncRNA